GUAACCGAUGGAAAUCUUGAGAGCACUAGGGUUUGUGCAAUGGGGGAUCUAUCGUAUCCAAAAGAGACCUUCCCCUAAUUAUCUUAUCGUAUUGCUGCUUUUUGCUAGUUGGAAAACCGGGUUUGUUGUCUACCGGGUGCAUGUGAGACGUGGAGGACGCAAGAGGCCUGUUCCCAAGGGUAUGAGAAACCCACUAACCAAGGAACGUGCUGAUCGCAAACUUGGUAGCCUAAGCUACAAACCCUCGCUUACUAUCCACUGUAGCAUUAUUACUGUCUAAUAAUAGGAAUUGAACUGUUACACGUUGGCAUGUAUAUAUGUGUACUGAUAACUGUUUAGUUCACGUUGCUGAUAUGAUGAUGUAUGUAUCCGGUUGAUUAAUGAUGGUUGUCUUUCAUUUACUUAGGACUCUACUUACAAGUACUACGAGAUUAUUCUUGUGGACCCUGCACACAAUGCCGUCCGAAAUGAUCCAAGGAUGAACUGGAUCUGCAACCCAGUGCACAAGCACAGAGAACUCAGAGGGCUCACCUCAGAGGGAAAGAAGAAUCGUGGUCUUCGUGGAAAGGGUCACAACAACCACAA